CCCAUGAAAUCAAAUGCAGAUGCCCCUGACAUGUUCAUGAUGUCAAAGACUCCAUCUCAUGUUCCCCUCUCACAUGCUCCUAAACCUGUGGAAUCAAAUGCAGAUGUCCUUGAUGUGCCGAAGGCUCCAUCCAAUGCUUCUCUGUCUGCUAAAUGUUCCAGUGAUGCUAAUUAUGUGGAGUUAGCACAUGGCACGGGCAUAAAAAUCCUAAAGCAUCAAUGGACUUCUGCCCUGCAGGCCCAAACAGCCACUUCAAUGGUGCGUGUUCUUUUAAUGGCCGCCUUCCCACUAGAAGUUCUGAUCCACAGCAAUUUGAAAGGGGGAAAGAGUAAAACUGAUGGUAGUGCAGAGAGAAGACAUGCCCUUGACAAGGAAACCAUGGGAGCCAUAUUUGUGGCAGUCAAGAAGAGGUUUCCCAAUGUGUCCAGAGGAGCUUUGGGUAUUGCAGUGAAUUCCAAGCUGGGGGAACUGAGACUGCUUGAAAAAAAAAGGAGCUAAUUUUGUUAUUGUUUUUUUGUUGUUAUUCUUUAAUUUAUAGCAUGUUCCUUACUUGAUUUUUAUUCAGGUGUGUUAUAUGUUCACAUUUUAGACAGAAAAUAAAGAUUUUAUUCAAAUGUUACAUUGUGAAUGUAUUUUCUUGGACUGAAAUAUAUGCAGGGCAAAAUAUAUAUAAAAUAUAUAUAUUUAUAUAUAUAUUUAAAAAAAAUGACAAAAAUGUAUUUGUAGAAAUAUAUUUAUUUAAAUAUAUUAUUAGUAAGUAAAUAUUAUUAUAGUAAUAUAUCUAUA
rnacentral:lncRNA from 1 species